rnacentral:rRNA from 1 species
AUUGAACGCUGGCGGCAGGCCUAACACAUGCAAGUCGAGCGGAUGAAGGGAGCUUGCUCCUGGAUUCAGCGGCGGACGGGUGAGUAAUGCCUAGGAAUCUGCCUGGUAGUGGGGGAUAACGUCCGGAAACGGGCGCUAAUACCGCAUACGUCCUGAGGGAGAAAGUGGGGGAUCUUCGGACCUCACGCUAUCAGAUGAGCCUAGGUCGGAUUAGCUAGUUGGUGGGGUAAAGGCCUACCAAGGCGACGAUCCGUAACUGGUCUGAGAGGAUGAUCAGUCACACUGGAACUGAGACACGGUCCAGACUCAUACGGGAGGCAGCAGUGGGGAAUAUUGGACAAUGGGCGAAAGCAUGAUCCAGCCAUGCCGCGUGUGUGAAGAAGGUCUUCGGAUUGUAAAGCACUUUAAGUUGGGAGGAAGGGCAGUAAGUUAAUACCUUGCUGUUUUGACGUUACCAACAGAAUAAGCACCGGCUAACUUCGUG